GAGGAUCUCUUGACCCCACAACGUUGAAGAACGCAGGGAAACGAGAAAGGU
rnacentral:rRNA from 13 species